rnacentral:rRNA from 1 species
UACAGAUGUCCCAAGCGUUGUUCGGAUUCACUGGGCGUAAAGGGUGCGUAGGUGGUGAGGUAAGUCGGAUGUGAAAUCUCCGGGCUCAACCCGGAAACUGCAUUGGAAACUACCUUGCUUGAGGAUUUGAGGGGGGAUUGGAAUACUUGGUGUAGCAGUGAAAUGCGUAGAUAUCAAGUGGAACACCAGUGGCGAAGGCGAAUCCCUGGAAAAUACCUGACACUGAGGCACGAAAGCUAGGGGAGCAAACAGG